GUCUAGGGGUGGCUAAUAGCCUGAGAUCAUACCCUCCAACCUGAUCUGGAUAAUACCAGCGUAGGGAAUGGCAGUUA
rnacentral:ncRNA from 1 species